rnacentral:rRNA from 1 species
AGGACGAACGCUGGCGGCGUGCUUAACACAUGCAAGUCGAGCGGAAAGGCCCUUCGGGGUACUCGAGCGGCGAACGGGUGAGUAACACGUGAGCAACCUACCCUUGGCUUUGGGAUAACCCUCGGAAACGGGGGCUAAUACCGGAUAUUCAUCACUGGGCGCAUGUUUGGUGGUGGAAAGUUUUUCGGCUGGGGAUGGGCUCGCGGCCUAUCAGCUUGUUGGUGGGGUGAUGGCCUACCAAGGCGACGACGGGUA